CUUAGGCUGGGCUGGGCUGCUCCGGCAGCAGCCGCUGGGUUGCCGUAGGAACCAGGAAUUCAAGUAAAUAUGCUCAGGAAGGAGAAAUGUCUACUAAUUAAAUACUGACCAGAGGUGCAGACCUACAAUGGCAUCUCUGGAGCACUGGACCUGCACUGUCUUACUGAGUGGCAAACCCACCCACAUUCAGCACCCAACUCAAACACUGGAAUGGAAAAAACAAAGAAAGAAGAAAAGGAGAUACCACUUUUUAUGAAGCACUACAUGAGUUGCUGAUGGAUAAAUCACCCAAGCAUGGUUAAAGAGACCCCAAUCUCCAGAUGGUACCAGAUCCAUUUAAUUGUAUCCUCUGACCUCAUCUCACCUGAGCCUGCAUUAAAAUCAUAAUACAGUUCAAGUGUAAAAAUGA